CUUAUGGCCACUUUGAAACACCAGUUCCCGUACGAUCACCGCAGUUAAGCAACAUCGCGUUUGGUUAGUACCUACAUGGGAAUAGAAAGUGGGAAUACCAGGUGCUGUAAU